GAUGAACGCUGGCGGCGUGCCUAAUACAUGCAAGUCGAGCGAACAGAUGAGGAGCUUGCUCCUCUGACGUUAGCGGCGGACGGGUGAGUAACACGUGGAUAACCUACCUAUAAGACUGGGAUAACUUCGGGAAACCGGAGCUAAUACCGGAUAAUAUAUUGAACCGCAUGGUUCAAUAGUGAAAGACGGUUUUGCUGUCACUUAUAGAUGGAUCCGCGCCGCAUUAGCUAGUUGGUAAGGUAACGGCUUACCAAGGCAACGAUGCGUAGCCGACCUGAGAGGGUGAUCGGCCACACUGGAACUGAGACACGGUCCAGACUCCUACGGGAGGCAGCAGUAGGGAUUCUUCCGCAAUGGGCGAAAGCCUGACGGAGCAACGCCGCGUGAGUGAUGAAGGUCUUCGGAUCGUAAAACUCUGUUAUUAGGGAAGAACAAAUGUGUACGUAACUAUGCACGUCUUGACGGUACCUAAUCAGAAAGCCACGGCUAACUACGUG
rnacentral:rRNA from 1 species